CUUCACAGAGCCCAGCCACAGCGGCCGGUCCUCCGACCGCUCCUGGCCGUAGGGGGCCAGCAGCGCCUGCGCCUC
rnacentral:antisense_RNA from 1 species